rnacentral:rRNA from 1 species
ACAAUGGGCGCAAGCCUGAUGCAGCCAUGGCCGCGUGUAUGAAGAAGGCCUUCGGGUUGUAAAGUACUUUCAGCAGUGAGGAAGGUGGGUAUGUUAAAUUAGCCAUACUCAUUUGACGUUAGCUGCAGAAGAAGCACCGGCUAACUCCGUCGCCAGCAGCCGCGGUAAUACGGAGGGUGCGAGCGUUAAUCGGAAUUACUGGGCGUAAAGCGCAUGCAGGUGGUUUGUUAAGUCAGAUGUGAAAGCCCGGGGCUCAACCUCGGAAUUGCAUUUGAAACUGGCAAACUAGAGUACUGUAGAGGGGGUAGAAUUUCAGGUGUAGCGGUGAAAAUGCGUAGAGAUCUGAAGGAAUACCGGUGGCGAAGGCGGCCCCCUGGACAGAUACUGACACUCAGAUGCGAAAGCGUGGGGACGCAAACAGGAUUAGACUACCCUGGUAG